UGAGAUUUCGAGAGGCAACUUUCCCAGCAACAACAUGUGGAAUGUCUCGAGCGGCUAUGCUUAUGAACCAACUGGUCCUUCAAAGACUAGAACUACAUUCUAGAACUAUUUUAAGCAAAUGGUAUUUAAAUCACAGCACAUACAUUUUUUAUAUUUUUUCUUCCCCAACUGCAGUAACUGGAUAUACUGGUGUUACACUUGUUAUUUGAUACACAGGAAGGCAGAGCCUGAAAUUAUUGGGAGGAGUUACCCGGUCUUUAGUAGUCAGGCCACCUCAUACACUCAAACCAGUUCAGAA